GAUGAAGAACGCAGCGAAAUGCGAUACUUGGUGUGAAUUGCAGAAUCCCGUGAACCAUCGAGUCUUUGAACGCAAGUUGCGCCUCAAGCCAUUAGGUUGAGGGCACGUCUGCCUGGGCGUCACAUAUCGUUGCCUGAUGCCAGUUUCCUCGUGAUGGGUGACUGUGCAGGGCGAAUGAUGGCUUCCCGUGAGCAUUGUUGCCUCAUGGUUGGUUGAAAAUUGAGUCCUUGGUAGGGAGCGCCGUCAUAGAUUGUGGUUGAGUGACGAACGAGACCCAAUCAUGUGAGACCCCUACCGAAUUUGGCCUUCAUGACCCACAUGCGUCUUUGGAACGCUCAUGACGAGACCUCAGGUCAGGCGGGGCUACCCGCUGAGUUUAAGCAUAUCAAUAAGCGGAGGA
rnacentral:misc_RNA from 1 species